rnacentral:rRNA from 1 species
UAGGGAAUCUUCCGCAAUGGGCGAAAGCCUGACGGAGCAACGCCGCGUGAGUGAUGAAGGUCUUCGGAUCGUAAAACUCUGUUAUUAGGGAAGAACAAAUGUGUAAGUAACUAUGCACGUCUUGACGGUACCUAAUCAGAAAGCCACGGCUAACUACGUGCCAGCAGCCGCGGUAAUACGUAGGUGGCAAGCGUUAUCCGGAAUUAUUGGGCGUAAAGCGCGCGUAGGCGGUUUUUUAAGUCUGAUGUGAAAGCCCACGGCUAAACCGUGGAGGGUCAUUGGAAACUGGAAAACUUGAGUGCAGAAGAGGAAAGUGGAAUUCCAUGUGUAGCGGUGAAAUGCGCAGAGAUAUGGAGGAACACCAGUGGCGAAGGCGACUUUCUGGUCUGUAACUGACGCUGAUGGGCGAAAGCGUGGGGAUCAAACAGG